UUUCUAUUUCCGGUCCGAAGCCUAGGUAAUUUUUAGAAUUUAAAUACAUAUAUAUUUAAAAUCCAAAACUAUCUCAACGAAGAAGACUAAAAUUAAUAAAUAAACAUCAUAUUUUAGCAUUUCUUUGUAUGUUUUUAAAUAUUAGAUGUAUAUUUUAACAUACUUCGUUAGCUAAUAUAUGUUUCUUGAGCUCCGUAGAAUGUAAAUAAAACACACUUUUUAUAGUUUCAGCUGACAACAGCGAU